UAAAAGGACGCGGUAACCUUGACCGUGAUAAUGUAGCAUAAUCACUCGCCAUUUAAUUGAUGGAUAGUAUGAAUGGUUGAACGAAUAUUCCGCUGUCUUAAAAAGAAUUAAUAAAAAUUGAAAUAAUAGUUAAGAUGCUAUUUUAAACUGUAAGACGAAAAGACCCUAUAGAGCUUAACUAUAAACUUCUUAUUAACAAAAAGAAAAAUAAUUCUUAUCAUAAGAAGUUUGGUAGUUUAGUUGGGGCGACUAUCUUUUAAAAAUAACAAAGAUAAGCAAUGUUAAUAAUUAACUUAUUGUAUAACUUAAUAGUUUAACAAUUAUUAAAAUAGGCUAUAGUGACCCGUUUUUACUGAAUAAAAGGAAAAACGAUCAAUUGAUAAAAGCUACCUUAGGGAUAACAGGAUAAUUUUAUUUUAGAGUUCCUAUCGAAAAUAAAGUUUGUCACCUCUAUGUUGAAUUAAGAUAUCCUGAUAAUGCAGAA
rnacentral:rRNA from 1 species